CCGAUAGUGAACCAGUACCGUGAGGGAAAGGCGAAAAGAACCCCGGCGAGGGGAGUGAAAAAGAACCUGAAACCGUGUACGUACAAGCAGUGGGAGCACGCUUAGGCGUGUGACUGCGUACCUUUUGUAUAAUGGGUCAGCGACUUAUAUUCUGUAGCAAGGUUAACCGAAUAGGGGAGCCGAAGGGAAACCGAGUCUUAACUGGGCGUUAAGUUGCAGGGUAUAGACCCGAAACCCGGUGAUCUAGCCAUGGGCAGGUUGAAGGUUGGGUAACACUAACUGGAGGACCGAACCGACUAAUGUUGAAAAAUUAGCGGAUGACUUGUGGCUGGGGGUGAAAGGCCAAUCAAACCGGGAGAUAGCUGGUUCUCCCCGAAAGCUAUUUAGGUAGCGCCUCGUGAAUUCAUCUCCGGGGGUAGAGCACUGUUUCGGCAAGGGGGUCAUCCCGACUUACCAACCCGAUGCAAACUGCGAAUACCGGAGAAUGUUAUCACGGGAGACACACGGCGGGUGCUAACGUCCGUCGUGAAGAGGGAAACAACCCAGACCGCCAGCUAAGGUCCCAAAGUCAUGGUUAAGUGGGAAACGAUGUGGGAAGGCCCAGACAGCCAGGAUGUUGGCUUAGAAGCAGCCAUCAUUUAAAGAAAGCGUAAUAGCUCACUGGUCGAGUCGGCCUGCGCGGAAGAUGUAACGGGGCUAAACCAUG
rnacentral:rRNA from 1 species